rnacentral:rRNA from 1 species
CCUACGCGCGGCAGCAGUGAGGAAUAUUGGUCAAUGGACGAGAGUCUGAACCAGCCAAGUAGCGUGAAGGAUGACUGCCCUAUGGGUUGUACACUUCUUUUAUAUGGGAAUAAAACAGGGUAUGCAUACCCUCUUGUAUGUACCAUAUGAAUAAGGAUCGGCUAACUCCGUGCCAGCAGCCGCGGUAAUACGGAGGAUCCGAGCGUUAUCCGGAUUUAUUGGGUUUAAAGGGAGCGUAGGUGGAUUGUUAAGUCAGUUGUGAAAGUUUGCGGCUCAACCGUGAAAUUGCAGUUGAAACUGGCAGUCUUGAGUACAGUAGAGGUGGGCGGAAUUCGUGGUGUAGCGGUGAAAUGCUUAGAUAUCACGAAGAACUCCGAUUGCGAAGGCAGCUCACUGGACUGCAACUGACACUGAUGCUCGAAAGUGUGGGUAUCAAACAGGAUUAGAGACCCGAGUAGUC